rnacentral:rRNA from 1 species
GAUGAACGCUGGCGGCGUGCCUAAUACAUGCAAGUCGAGCGAACAGACGAGGAGCUUGCUCCUCUGACGUUAGCGGCGGACGGGUGAGUAACACGUGGAUAACCUACCUAUAAGACUGGGAUAACUUCGGGAAACCGGAGCUAAUACCGGAUAAUAUAUUGAACCGCAUGGUUCAAUAGUGAAAGACGGUUUUGCUGUCACUUAUAGAUGGAUCCGCGCCGCAUUAGCUAGUUGGUAAGGUAACGGCUUACCAAGGCAACGAUGCGUAGCCGACCUGAGAGGGGUAUCGGCCACACUGGAACUGAGAAACGGUCCAGACUCCUACGGGAGGCAGCAGUAGGGAAUCUUCCGCAAUGGGCGAAAGCCUGACGGAGCAACGCCGCGUGAGUGAUGAAGGUCUUCGGAUCGUAAAACUCUGUUAUUAGGGAAGAACAAAUGUGUAAGUAACUAUGCACGUCUUGACGGUACCUAAUCAGAAAGCCACGGCUAACUACGUG